CUAGGAGGCUCAGGCUCGUGCUUGGAAGACACCCAAGCGCCACGCCUCCUCUUUCCCUCUGUUAUUUAUCUCUGGCUUGAGGCCACAGCCCUUCUCUGUGAGCUCAUAAACACCAAACAGUCGUAUUACAUCGGACCUGGGUAGGAGGAAAAGCUGAGUAGUGUGGGGAAGCGGUCAGGAGGGGCAGAGCGCUGAGUGCCCAGCAGCCCUGAGGGAGGUGUUUUCCUGCUGACGUCCACGCUGAUGUCCACGUCAGGCCCCAGGUGGCCUUGGAGAAACGCGCACCCCCCGGGAGGGGUCUCCUACCUUCUGCUGUGCCCAAGGCCUCUCGCUUCACAAACACUGCACACGCAGACUCAGGGAAACAUUUUAAAACGCAGGACUGCAGGGGCAGGGACGGGAGAGACAGAGGAGGAGAGAGCGGAACAGAGAAGAGAAGCCCUGACCUGUGCCCGGUGCCUGCGUGCAGAGAGGGCCCGUGAGCCUGCUGGGAGCCUUCUGCCGGCACAGGCAGCAGGGCAGUCCGCCAGAGUGCGGGCACAUGCCGCGGGCACCCGGGGCUGGGCCGCGGGCCGCAGUGAGGCCCGGAAGUGAACGUGCAGGUUGCUGGAGCCGACACAAAGACCUGGUAAACAAAGCCUGAGCUAUGCGUGCUACGGAGUGAGUGACAGAGACCCGAGCCCACCGGGUCCGCGCCUGCCCUCUCCUCCAGGCCGCCUCCUAGGGCCUUGGGGUGGGAUGUGCUGUCUCUUGCGCUUGUGUCUCCCCAUCUGAGCUCCGGCCCCUGCUGCCUCUGCUACUCCCGGGUCUUGGGACAGUCCCUCCCCUGCUUUAUCCCCAAGGCCCUGCUGCUGCUCGGGAGUGGGGUGCAGCCCUUCUGCUUCCUUCCACUGAUGGGGCCGAGGGGUCGGGGACAGGCAGCAAGGAGAAACACCUUGGAGCGCGACCUGCCUGUCCCCUUCCUCGGCUGCUGUGGGCUUGCCCUCUUCCCCCCGAAUUCCUGUCCCUCCCCACUGUGUCCUCCAGGGCUGCGAUCAGACCCCAGGCCUGGGCUCCCUGCUUUCACAGGGGCUGGUCUUCCACCAGCUCCAGGCCACCCCUCUUCUCAGAGCACCCAGAGCUCUCCUUCUAGAGUGAGCUUUGAUAGCAACGCACCUCAGGCCCAGAGGGUCCCAACCUCCGCGUGGAGCGCGAGUCUUUGAUUUCUCACUCUUCACGUGCCAUCUCCUCCACUCAUUCUCUUCCCCCACGUGGAGGGUGCCGAGCCCUCUGGUUCACAUGCGCCUCAUCUCUGUAGACCUCGAGGUGCAGAGUGGGGUCCCUUGCACCUGGUGUCUUCCUUUCCACACCUAACCCUGGAGCCAGAACUGAAGGACCGACUCAGUCAUGGUCCAUAAUACAAUAAAGUACCUUCUGUCACUCCAAAGAAUCGAGUCUCUUGUUUACUUGAAUAAUGUGAGUGAUCUAUUGCAAAUUGAAAAAGCAUUUUCCGAACCAAAAAGUAGAACAUGGUCUGAAACUAGUCUUUUUUCCUCUGCCUCCUUUUCCUCAAUGUGGGGAUAUUUACAGGAAAAAAUGAGGGGAAAAAAGCUCACUACUGCUUCUGGGUGGUGAAUUUUAGGAGG
ensembl:lncRNA